rnacentral:rRNA from 1 species
GAUGAACGCUAGCGGCAGGCCUAACACAUGCAAGUCGAGGGAGAGGUUACCUUCGGGUAACCAAAACCGGCGCACGGGUGCGUAACGCGUAUACAAUCUGCCUUUCACAUAGGGAUAGCCCGAAGAAAUUUGGAUUAAUACCUAAUGGUAUAUAAGAGCGGCAUCGUUUUUAUAUUAAAGCUACGGUGGUGAAAGAUGAGUAUGCGUUCUAUUAGCUAGUUGGAGAGGUAACGGCUCCCCAAGGCGACGAUAGAUAGGGGUUCUGAGAGGGAUGUCCCCCACACUGGUACGGAGAUACGGACCAGACUCCUACGGGAGGCAGCAGUGAGGAAUAUUGGACAAUGGUCGGAAGACUGAUCCAGCCAUGCCGCGUGCAGGAUGAAGGUCCUAUGGAUUGUAAACUGCUUUUGUAAGGGAAGAAUAAGGAGUACGUGUACUUUGAUGACGGUACCUUACGAAUAAGCAUCGGCUAACUCCGUG